AGGCCUGGGAAGGGGUGGGGGAGGGGAUGUGGGCAGACAGGGCACAGGACAGGGUGGGAAGGGAGGAUGAGAAGAUACAGGGUGUCAGCCAGGACUAUGGCCCAGAGAAGAAGAGCUGAGAGGAGACGGGGAGGUGGGAUCUGCACCCCAUGCCCACCACAGUGCUGUUGGGGAGAAAGUGCUGGACUCCCUGGGCUUCCUCUGUCAAGGAAAGGGUUUGGACCUCACAAUUGCCAGACCCUCCAGCACUAACACUGCAUAAAUUCCUGAUCUGUCUAAAGUGUUAUAGAAAAAGGAGGAAUUUUUAUAACCACAAAUUCAAAAUUUUAACUUUGUUUUCCAGGUCUCUCACCCUUUCCUGAGAAAAGUUAGAAGCUCAGAAAACUCAGGGCUGUUCCCAGAUGAGAAAACGCAGGCAGAGAGAGAUUAAAGAUCUUGCCCAGUGACACAAUGGAAGUCCUCAAGCUGUGUUCCAACUCAGGCCUGUGUGACUCUGGAGCCCACACUCCUACCCAUUGUCUAAGUGGUUAUUAUCAUGGUCAGAUUCCAACUUUUAAAACCUGGUGGGAAACAAAACCUUUUGGCUUCUAAUCAGACUGACAUUUUCCUUUGGACAGACCUCAGCUUUGGAUGUAGUCCUGGGUAGAUAGUGGGUAGAUGACUUUGAACAGAGAAUAUGGAGCAAACAGAUUUUGCCUUGGGGUCAGGGUCACCUCCAGUUGAGGGAGAAGUGGGAGGGAAUGGCUGACUGCGGAUGGGGUGCAGGAACUCUCAGCCCUCACCUCCGCCUCCUCCAGGGCUGACUGUAGCUCCAGCUUCUCCACCUCCAGCUGUUUGCGGACCUUCUCCAGCUCAUGCACAUUCUUUCCUCCUUCUCCCAGCUGCUCAGUAAGGUCCGAGAUUUCCUCUGGGAAGCAGAGGGCCAGAAAGCUCAAAGCCUGUGUUCCCUCUGCCCCAGCAUGGCCCUCCCUCCUACCAGCCCAUCUGUGGCCUCUUGAGCCCCCAGCACACCCUGAAGGUUCUUGUUCUCCCGCUUGAAGGUCUCCAGGUGCUCCAGGGACUCCUCGUAGGCGUUCUUGAGCUUGAAGAGCUCGGUGCUGAGGGAGCGCGCCUCCUUCUGCGACGACUCCAGCUCCGACUGUGACUCCUCAUACUUCUGCUUCCACUCAGCCAGGAUCUGUCCGGGGAAGAGACUCACUCUUCAGCCCCCCAGCCUCAGCCCCCUGGCCCUCCUGCUUCCCAGCGCCCCAACCCCUAGCCUCAGCCCCAUAUCCAAGGUCUGUCCCUUGCUCCCAGUCUGGACUCAGGCCUCCUCUCCCACCUCCAAGGAGGACAGCUCUGGCCUUGCCCUGAAGCCCUCACACUACCCACGGCCCACCCGUCGGCUGGCUGUGGCCCCCACCCAUGGCCCACCUUGUCGAAGUUCCUCUGCUUCUUGUCCAGGGCUGCAGCAGCCGCAUUGGAGCGCUCCACGUCCACCAUCAGGUCCUCAAUCUCAUUCUGUAGCCGGUGCUUGGUCUUCUCCAGCGAGGAGCACUUGGCAUUAACGGCCUCCACGGCCUCCUCAGCGUCCUGCAGCCGCUGGGCCAGCUUCUUCCUGCCCAGGUGAGGGUGGAGGGUGUGUGUGUGAUUCCACUGGGCAACAGUGGAGCUUUGGGUGGACCUCCUCCCACUCCCUCCCUGUAUCUCCUUAAGAUACCAUAAGUCCAGCCUAGAGGGAGCUGAGCCUGCUGGCACCUGGAACAGAGUCCACCAGCAUGGGCUGCCCGGGCAUCCUUCCUACCUGCAGUGGCAUCUGGGUAUCAGUGGCCCCUGCCCUCGCCCCCCACACAGGCUGAUCGACGGUAGCUCCUCUGACCAACAAGCUUUUUGCUCGUCUUAUACGUGAGCAUCAGGUAUAACCCGGGCCAAAAGCUCGCCCGUCACAGGAAGUGGGUCAGGGCCAGCCAGGUUCACAGAGCAAAGGAUCCAGGCUUUCUUCCAAGCACCUCUGUUGCUCUCUGAGUUCCUCCUGUCUCUCUCAGCUCCCUCCCAUGAUCACUCUGCCUGUCCCCACCCCAGGUCCUCUUGCUCCUUCCUCUCUCAGAGCCAGGUUAAGGGGGCAUCUGGAGCUCACUUGGCCUCCUCGAGCUCCUCAGUCCGCUGGAUGGCGUCCGUCUCAUACUUGGUCCUCCACUGGGCCACCUCCGAGUUGGCCUUGGACAGGACACGCUGCAGCUCGGCCUUGGCCUCAGUCUCCUCCUCAUACUGCUCUCGCAGCAGGUCGCAGUCGUGCCGGGCCGACUGCAGUGCAUGGGCCAGGGCGUUCUUCGCCUGGGGAGGGGUGGGCACCAGGAGGUAGGAGGGACUCCCUGUGCCCCAUUCUCCAGAUCCUUCUCUUGUAGUACUUCAUCCAAGCCCAGCCUUAUUCAGCAUGUGGGCUGAUGUGGAAACUGUCUGAGGAGUUUCCCAGUUUGCCCACCCCCAUCCUCUUAUAAAUAGGAAAAGAGGCAUUAGAUGAUGCUUAGCUGCAGGACAGAAGCUAGACUGGAGGCCCUUUCCCUUGCAGAGGACUCUCCCCAGCCCCAGGCUCCAUUUUUGGUAUUGAGGUGAAUGCCCCAGGGCUGCCGUCAAGCCCGCCCACCCUCCUGCCUGGGCCUCACCUUGCCCUCCUCCUCCAGCUGCCUUUUGAGGUCCUCCAUUUGCUGGGUAUAGGAGAGCUUCCCCCGGGUCAGCUGUGAGAUUAGUGCCUCCUUUUCUUCUAGUUGCCGGGCCAACUCUCCUGGAGGUAAAAUGAGGGGCUUGUGGGCCAUUCCACAAGUCAUGUCCUACUCUAGGCAGGCAGGACUGAUUAGGGGCACCCACCAUUCUCAGUCUGCAGCUUGGCUCGCUGGGUAGUGAAGUCGUUGAGGGAGCGUUGGGCCUCUUCUAGCUUCACGCGGUACUCAUUGGCCUGGUCCUCCAGCGUCCGAGACACUUUCUCCAGGUUUGCCUUCAGGAAGCAAAGGACAGGAAGGUUGAGUGUGGGAGAGGCUGAGUUGAGCAGAGGAAGGAAGACAGGGUCAGAGAUGGGGAACACCAGAGGGCAGGAGGGGGACACGGAAGGUGUGGGAUGGCGCAGUCUGAAGAGGGACUUGAAUUAAAGAUGGGAGGAAGAUGGAGAUAAAGAUGUAGAGGAGAGCCAGCGAGGAGGCAGAGGAGAGAGGAAGAGAGACCAAAGGGUGACAAGGGGAAUGAAAAUGACAAAGGAGAUGGCAGACAGAGACAGAAGGUGUGGGGGAGGCUCCGCUGUGCAGGGGAGAGGUCAAGGAGAGGCUGAGCAGAGCCUGCCUUGGCCUUGAUGAUAUGCUCCAUGUUGGAGGUGACGUCGUCCAGCUCCAGCUUGAACUCGCUCUUCUCCUUCUCCAGCUUCUGCUUCACCCGCUGCAGGUUGUCAAUCUGCUCGCUCAGCUCGGCCACGCUGUCUGCGUGCUUCUUGCGCAGGGCCGCGGCAGUGGCCUCAUGCUGCAGCGUGGCCUCCUCCAGGUCCCGCCGCAUCUUCUGGAACUCAGCCUCACGCUUCUUGUUCAUCUCAAUCUGCACUGAUGUGGCUCCGCCAGCCUCUUCCAGCCGCUCGCUGAUCUCUUCCAGCUCCCGGGACAGGUCUGAGCGCAGCUUCUCCACCUUGGCCCUGGCGGUGCGCUCAGCCUCCAGCUCCUCCUCCAGCUCCUCAAUUCGUGCCUGGGCCAGACACAAAGGGCUCAGACCCACCUCCUGGACCCCUCUACUGGAAUCCCCCUGGGCUCUAAAAGGCUACCAGGCACUCAGGUACCUCUUGAGUAGUGGUUCUCAACUAGGGGCAAUUUUGUGCCCCAGGGAAUUGUUGGCAAUGUCUGAUUGUCAUGAUUUGGUGGGGCUUGCUACUGGCAUCUAGAGGGUAGAGGCUAGGGAUGGUGCUAAACAUUCUAUAAUGCAUAGGCCAUCAAUGAAUUUGGUUGAAGCCAAAUCUUCAAGGCAUUUCCUGAGGGCAUCUCAGGCCCAGUCUGAGCAUCUACAGCCCUGGAUCCUGAGAAUCUGUUUUGAGGGAGAUCCUGGGAUCCUGUUAGAUCAAGAAUUUCAGAGUCUCCAGAUUCACUAGGCUGUGUUCCAUCCAUAAGACAGGAAAGUGAAUACUUGUAUUUUACAAAUAUUUGCAACAAUAUGCCUCGAAACUAUCAAAUAUCUUUGCAAUUCUCCAAGUUAACCACAGUCCCAAUUAGCCAUAUUCCUCACUCUCCAGGGCUUCCUGUGUUUAUUCCCAGGGCUGGGUUUCAACAUGAUUGCCCUCUUUCAGACCAGGAAAGUGCUAGCAGGAUGCUCUCCUGUUCACAUCAUCUCAUCCUCUUCAAAUGCUCCUGCCUCACUUUUCUGGUCUUAGCCUUGGUCUUGACUAAAUUGUAAGAAUAUCCUAUCUAUCAUUUUGAUCUGUUGUCUGGUUAGUCAGGAACAAAGUGGGGGUUCAGUGGCGAUCCCUUCUCCUGGGGUUAUGGACAGCUUUAAUGGACUGUUCAUGGAUGGGUCCUAGGAGCAGAAGAGAGGACCACCAUGCCUCUGCUCCUAGGAUGGAGAAGGUGGGACUUCUGAACAAGAUUUUGGGCAUGAAGGAGGAGCCACAGCCUCUUGCCAAUACCUCAUGAGAUUUAUGGGACUGUUAUCCUGGGUCCAAGAAGCCAAAUAAGUUUCCCAGACCCCGGGUAGAAGAGGCUGAGGAUGGCCCAGUGGUCUAUCUAAAAUCCAGAAGGGGCAUCCAAAAAGAUAGGAAGGCAAAUUGUUACUGAAGUCAGGCCAGUCCCUGUGCAGCCCCAGAGGAGUGGAAUUGUGUUCAUACAUUACUUGCAGCCUGGGCCAUGGGCCUCAAGUGCAGAGGGGAGACUACCUCUUUCUACCAACCACAGUCUGCCCCAAAAUGAGAGGACAAGGUCUUGCCCCAGUAGCUGAGUUCCUGUUGCCCUUGGGGUCACUAUAUCCAGAACUGGCCAUGUAGCUUCUGUAGCUAUAAAAUGGGGAUGGCAGUCCUUGCCUUGUGGACUUCCAAAGGUCUUCUGACAAACCCAAUACUAAAAGCAUAUUGACGUCUGAGUUUCAUUAAAGCUAAGAGAGACUAUAGCUGUUCACUCAAUCCUGACCUGAGAGGAAUGAGAAGGCUAUGGAGAAGACACAACAAUACCUCCUUAGGCUAGUGGCUGGUUGACUUCUCUCAACUGGGCUAUAUUAAAAUGACACUUACAUAGUGUUUCCUAGUUGACAAAGUGGUUUCAAAUACAUUAUCUCCUCUGAUCCUGUGUGAUAGGUAUUGUCAGUCGCAUUUUAUAGGAGAGAUGAGAAUCUGAGGAUCAGGGAGGGUAAGCGAUUUGCUCAAUGUUACAGGAAUUGGCUCCUAUCAUGAGUGCCCUAUGGGGAGUCAGCCUGGAUUAGUGGCUGGGGUUAGUACCAGGAAGAAUAUGAAUAGAGCAGCUCACAGGAAGGUGCUCCUUGAAGGUUUUUUUCUGCCCCCUGCCCCCAUUCAGAGGGCAGAACUACUAGAGCAAGGGUUAGAGGAGAAUAGAGCCCUAUCACUUGUAUUAGAGCAGAAACUCCAUGAGGCAGAGCAGAUCUCAGAAGGCGAAGCCCUUUAGUAGGUAUGACUCUCCCUUCUCAAAUAGUGUUUCUCACAUAAUGUAUUCUUGCUCUACGGGGGAAAGCUGGUGUUCCUGAGUGCCUGUAAGUCAGGGAUGGUUGGGUCUAUGAGGCUGCCUGGAGUUCCAGAUAUUGUGUAGAACUCUAAGCAGCUGCUGUAGUCUCAGUCAACUCAGGGCUAUUGAGCUUCCACUUUCCUGCACUAGGAAGAAUGUUACCUGGUUUUCCUUCAGUUUCUUUUGCAGCUGAAGGGCCAGUGCCUGUUCAUCCUCUAUCUUACUGUUCAGCUGAUUAAUGUCAAACUCCUUCCUGCAGGAGAAGGGUGGGGGUGGGGAAGGGACAAGUGGUCUUCCUUCUUCUGGGGCUCAUUCUCUUCUUGGCCUCAGCAUGCCAGAAUCAGCAUGUCCCCAUCCUCCCACCAGCCCAGAGAGUGGAGGAAGAGGGCUCUAAUUGACCUUAUUCCCAGUGUGCCCACGGCAACUGUGGGCAGUGGGGGUGCAGCACCCUGCACUCUAUCCACCAGACCAGAUGCCUCCAUUAGCCCCUCCUGGCUACCACAGUCUCCCCCUGCACUCUAUCCACCAGACCAGACACCUCCAUUAGCCCCUCCUGGCUACCACAGUCUCCCCCUGCACUCUAUCCACCAGACCAGAUGCCUCCAUUAGCCCCUCCUGGCUACCAUCGUCUCCUACUUUUUGAGCUUUUCGUCCAGCUGCAGUUUGUCAUUCUCCAGGUCCAUGAUGCUCUCCUGGGUCAGCUUUAGGUCACCCUCCAGUUUCCGCUUUGCUCGCUCCAGGUCCAUGCGCACCUUCUUCUCUUGCUCCAGGGAUCCUUCCAGCUGAAAAAAGAAAAAAAGCAAUGUGUGGAAUACAUAAAAUCCAUAGAGCAUGCUCUUUUGUCUCCUUCCAAACUUGAAGUCCAGUGGGAUUGGAAGUCAAACCAGUAGAGAAAUCCUGCAAGCACAAAGGAUUCAGAGACCUACCCUAGUGUAGAGCAAAAAAGCUCCAAGUUGCCUGCAAAAUCUUGCUCUGAGAGAGGGAACAGAGUUCUUACUACUCACAUCAUCCACCUGCUGCUCCAGCUUGACCUUAGACUUGGACAGGCUGUUGACCUUGUCCUCCUCGGCCUGAAGGUCAUCCAGGGCCUGCUGGUGGGCCUCUUGUAGAGCUUUCUUCUCCUUAGUUAGCUUGGCAAUGAUCUCAUCCAGCCCAGCCAUCUCCUCUGUUAGGUUCUUCACCUGCCGACCAAGAACCCGUCUCCUUUAGGGUCAAAGAUCACCAGCUUGGAGACAUCUAUGGGGAGCUCCAUGCCAAGGACCAGGACUACAUUUUGGUCUGGGAGUCUUGAGGAGAUCUGGGCUGGAGCCACACGGAGCUGCCCUCACCUUGUUCUCUGUUGCGUGCUUCUCCUUCUCCACCUUGGCCAGUGUCAGCUCCAGGUCAUCGAUGUCUUUCUUGAGCUCUGAGCACUCGUCUUCCAGCUUGCGCUUCUUGGCGGUGAGCUCAGCGUUCAUCUCUUCCUCGUCUUCCAGCCUCUCAUUCAUCUCCUUCACUUUGGCUUCCAGCUGAAUCUUGUUUUUGAUCAGCUGGUCGCAGCGCUCCUCAGCGUCAUUGAGGUUGUCUUGUUCCUGGGAGAAGAGAACAGGGAGGAAGUUGAUGGUUAGAGAGGAGACCUAGGGUCUUAAAAAGAGCUGGUACUCCUGGACUCCCAGCCCCUGGUUAUGAGAUGGGCUAUAAUCUAGGGGAGGGGAGAGGAGGGCUGAAGAGAUUAUCAUGUGGCCUCACCGCCUGCACUUGGAGCUGCAGGUCGUUCUUCUCCUGCAGCAGGGACACCAUCUUCUCCUCCAGCUCCUUGCGGCGAGCCUCGGACUUCUCCAGCGUCUCUUUGACGCGCCCGAACUCCUCCUUCAUGGUGGCCAUCUCCUUCUCCGUCUCUGCGCUCUUCAGCAGCGGCUUGAUCUUGAAGUAGAGCUUCAUCCAGGGCCAAUUCUUGACCCCCAUGAAGGCUCGAAUGUUCCACUGGAUUACUAGCAGGGCAUCCCUGACGAGGAGACAGGGUGGAGCACUAUGAAACAGCGCUUCCCAAUCAUGGGCCCGACUAAGCCAGUUUGUAGGCACAUAGCCUUCCUUCCUGUGCACGCCCACCCCCAACAUCACUACAAUGAACACGGAGUUGCUUGAUAAAUAUUUAUUAAUCAAUUUAAUGAAAGGGCAGUUUCUAUCCUU